GCAAGUUUCAGUUUAAGCAUCAUAUUGAUUUUCUUGAUUGCUUAUCAAUUUCAUGUUUAAAAAAAAAAGUGCAGAACAGUUGGAUAAUUCUCUUGAUGCCUAUGGUAUUACAAAUUGUUGAAUAUCUUAAGAGUGAUGAAGAACAUGCAAUCGAUGUUAAAGUUGUAGGGUUGGAGUAUAAUAUGUAUAGAGUCAUCAAUUUCUAAUGGUUACUGAAUCAUGAAUACAGAAGAAUAUAUUUUUAUAGCUUUUUACUCCUAUAUGAGAUGGAAAU
rnacentral:misc_RNA from 1 species